UACGUAGGGGGCAAGCGUUGUCCGGAAUCAUUGGGCGUAAAGAGCGUGUAGGCGGCCCGGUAAGUCCGCUGUGAAAGUCCAGGGCUCAACCCUGGGAUGCCGGUGGAUACUGUCGGGCUCGAGUACGGAAGAGGCGAGUGGAAUUCCUGGUGUAGCGGUGAAAUGCGCAGAUAUCAGGAGGAACACCAAUUGCGAAGGCAGCUCGCUGGGACGUAACUGACGCUGAGACGCGAAAGCGUGGGGAGCAAACAGG
rnacentral:rRNA from 1 species